UACGUAGGGUGCAAGCGUUGUCCGGAAUUAUUGGGCGUAAAGAGCUCGUAGGCGGUUCGUCGCGUCGGCUGUGAAAACCUGAGGCUCAACCUCAGGCCUGCAGUCGAUACGGGCAAACUAGAGUAUUGCAGGGGAGACUGGAAUUCCUGGUGUAGCGGUGAAAUGCGCAGAUAUCAGGAGGAACACCGGUGGCGAAGGCGGGUCUCUGGGCAAUAACUGACGCUGGAGGAGCGAAAGCGUGGGGAGCGAACAGG
rnacentral:rRNA from 1 species